UCCACACUCAAAAAAUCCCCAAUUCCAUCGCCGUAUUUCUCAUAAACCCUAGACUUUUUCUCUGUAAAUCUUUGCUUGUUUCAAAAUUCCAAGUUUAUCACUUCUUUCUUCAACUACAAAGGGGUGGGUUGCGAUGGAGUAUUUCAAAAUAAUUUUCGCUUCUGCCUUCAACUACAAGGGGAUUUCGGGGGAUCAUUUCGAGUUUCUCCGAUAAGGGAUUACACUGAACAUAUCAAUUCAUCCUACUGAUUCUGGCGGAGUGUAAUAGACUUUGCUGCUCUCAAGCAAAGCUCGGUAUCUUUCUUAUUGAGAAACCUUCACAAUCAGCACACGCAAGGUCAAGAGCUGCUAAGUUACUCCUCACUUGACUAACCAUACAUAGUUGCAGAGAGUUUUUUUUGGACGUGGUUUCCUUACUGAUAUUUUGGCAAAAAUCUUUUGUUUUUUUUUUGUUUUUUUUGUUUGAUCUGUGUAGUUUACAGAUAGCAUGUUCAGUGAUUAAAUUAAUCAUCAAAAAUGUAUUUUUUUCCAUCUAUUUAUGAGUUAAAAACUAUGAAUUUUUCUUA